GCUAGAGAGUGCAGUGGCGUGAUCUCAGUUCAGUGUAACAUCUGCCUCCCAGGCUCAAGUGAUUCUCCUGUCUCAGCCUCCUGAGUAGCUGCGAUUACAGGCACACACCACGAUGCCCAGCUAAUUUUUGUAUUUUUAGUAGAGAUGGGGUUUCACCAUGUUGGCCAGGCUGGUCUUCAACUCCUGACCUCAAGUGAUCCACCUGCCUCAGCCUCCCAAAGUGCUGGGAUUACAGGUGUGAGCCACUGCACCUGGUCAGGUGCCCCCAUCUCUGCCACUGCCCUGUCUUCCCUGCUGUGAGUCACUUUGUGUGAUCUGACAAUCAAUGACUCCACCCUUCACUGAUGAGGAUGCAUUAUCUGAGACUGGGUAUGUCAUCUCCACACACAGAUAGGGUUUGGUCAAUGAUUGAUGCUGCAUCCUUUGGUGCCUGGAUUUUGACAGUGUUUUUUAAAUAAGGGUUUCUGAAGAGCAGCUUCAUUGGUACCUUAAGGGAAGUGACUGAAUUGUUCUAUGCCAUUGCAUAAUAUAUAAAAGUUACUUUUCCACGUUGCUGUUAACUUUACACUGCUGAGAUAAGCAGGCUGUUGACAAGUUAGCAUCAACAGCACAUUAUCAGAGAAAGAAAGGCUUGUAUUCAGACAAUUUACACAACUGUAUUAGCUUCCUAUGACUUAGUAAAACAAUUUGAAAAAAUAUAGCUUUAUAAGGCAUAAAUGAAUUUGUAUGUUUUAACUAAGGUACUUUCUAGUAAACAGUGCCCAUACAUUUUAGGAAAUAUUUUAGUCUUUAGAGAAUAAGUAAGGCAAAACCCGGUCCAAGAGUCUAGAGCUGACCUCCCCUCAUCACAAGGCCAAGUCUUUUUUUUUGAGAUGGAGUUUCACUCUUGUUGCCCAUGCAGGAGUGCAAUGGCGCCAUCUUGGCUCACUGCAACCUCUGCCCUCCCCCGAGAUUCAAGCGAUUCUCCUGUCUCAGCCUCCUGACUAGCUAGGAUUACAGGAGCAUGCAACCACACCUGGCUAAUUUUUGUAAUUUUAGUAGAGAUGGGGUUUCAUCAUAUUGGUCAGGCUGGUCUCAAAGUAUUGACCUCAGGUGAUCCGCCUGCCUCAGCCUCCCAAUGUGCUGUGAUUACAGGCGUGAGCCACAGUGUCUGGCCAAGGCCAAGGCUUUUACCAUUGGAGAGACACAAGUCACAUACCGGGCAUAUGAGACGAUGCUCCUCAGUGACCAUGAUGGAUCAGGACAAAAAAAGAGAAUAUUUUAUAACUAUAUUUCUAAAUGUGAUAAAAGAAAACAUAUUUCAAAUCAUAAACAUGACCAAAAUUUUUCUCUUCUUACUAAUGUGACUUGUAAUUCUCAUACAUCCCACAGUCAUUUAUGACUUGUGGUCAUAUUUACCACUACAGUAUAUUACACCCUUGCUGACAGCAGGUAUGGCACUGGUGGUUUUGGGGAAGAAGGUACUCAGAGAUACAUGAGAUAACUUUUGGUAUUAUGAGUGAAAGAAAAAUUAGGGUUGAGGCUGGGCGCAGUGGCUCAUGUCUGUAAAUCCAGCACUUUGAGAGGCCGAGGCAGGAGGAUCACAAGGUCCAGAGUUCGAGACCAGCCUGGCCAAUAUGGUGAAACCCCGUCUCUACUAAAUAAUACACAUAAUUAGCUGGGUGAAGUGGUGCAUGCCUGUAGUCCCAGCUACUCAAAAGGCUGAAGAAGGAGAAUUGUUCAAACCUGGGAAGCAGAGAUUGCAGUGAGCCAAGAUCACACCACUGCACUCCAGCCUGGGCAACAGAGUGAGGCUCUUUCUAAAAAAAAAAAAAAAAAAAAAAGAAAAAGAAAAAGCAAAAGGAAAAAAAAAGAAAAAUUACAGUUGAAAUAAAAAUUAAAGUACAUAAGCAUGAAAAGUAAAGUUUACAUGAGGAAAAAUAUGCCUGGCAUUUAAUCCAGGUAAUGCUGAUUCACAAUAUCCAAAUAAUAACAAUGUAACAUUAUAAGCUUGAUCUAAUACAUGACACCAAUGGAUAUUUUAUUAUAGCUUCUUAAUUAUUUAAAAAGAAUAACAUU
rnacentral:lncRNA from 1 species